rnacentral:lncRNA from 1 species
GGGCAAUCUACAACUUCAUAAGAUAUGAGACUACUUUUUGCAAGAAAAAUUUACAGUCAUUCUUAUUUAGGCUAAUAGCAUGAUGCCGCAGAAAAAGCAUGAGCUUCGAUGCCAAAGAGAAGAGGAACAGAAUCUCGGAUCUGCCCACUUUGUGUCCUGGAGCACAGAUAGACUACAAACUUCAUCAAGGCGGUUGUACCCAUUUUGGAGUGCAUUCAGCUACAAGUAACAGAAACUUGACAGUGGCUUCAACAAAUAAGGAUUCACUUUUGUCAUCUAAAAAAGAAGUACAGAGGUAGUGGCUGCUGGUAAUGUUUCAGAACCUCAACAAUGUCACAAUGUCUCUUUGACUCUUUUGGUCUUUUCUUCAUGGGUUCAAGAUAGCUGUUGCAGCUCCAGCCAUCAUAUCCAAAUUAAAGCCAGAAGAAAGGAAAAGGGAUGAGGACAGCCAUAUCUGUCUCAUUUUAGUGGGAAAGCAAGCUUUCCAUUCUUGAGCUUGGCCGUAACUGGGUUGCUUACAACUCCAAGCGGCAAGGGAGGCUGGGAGAUGAGAUUCUGCAGGCUAAAUUGGGGAAG